rnacentral:rRNA from 1 species
AGCGAACGCUGGCGGCAGGCUUAACACAUGCAAGUCGAACGGGCACUUCGGUGUCAGUGGCAGACGGGUGAGUAACGCGUGGGAACAUACCUCUUGGUUCGGAACAACACAGGGAAACUUGUGCUAAUACCGGAUAAGCCCUUACGGGGAAAGAUUUAUCGCCGAGAGAUUGGCCCGCGUCUGAUUAGCUAGUUGGUGUGGUAAAAGCGCACCAAGGCGACGAUCAGUAGCUGGCUGAGAGGAUGAUCAGCCACAUUGGGACUGAGACACGGCCCAAACUCCUACGGGAGGCAGCAGUGGGGAAUAUUGGACAAUGGGCGCAAGCCUGAUCCAGCCAUGCCGCGUGAGUGAUGAAGGCCCUAGGGUUGUAAAGCUCUUUUGUACGGGAAGAUAAUGACGGUACCGUAAGGAUAAGCCCGGCUAACUUCGUGCCAGCCGCCGCCGUAAU